rnacentral:rRNA from 1 species
UACGUAGGGGGGCAAGCGUUGUCCGGAUUUAUUGGGCGUAAAGAGCGUGUAGGCGGCUAGGUAGGUCCGUUGUGAAAACUCGAGGCUCAACCUCGAGACGCCGGUGGAAACCAUCUAGCUAGAGUCCGGAAGAGGAAAGUGGAAUUCCUGGUGUAGCGGUGAAAUGCGCAGAUAUCAGGAAGAACACCCGUGGCUAAGGCGGCUCUCUAGUACGGUACUGACGCUGAGACGCGAAAGCGUGGGGAGCAAACAGG